AGUCGUGCAGUAAACUAAUUUUUUAGAGAUGAGGAAGUGGAUUUAAAAAGAAAACCAGUUCAUUCUUGGUUUUGCUAUUUGUAAAUGGGAAUUUGGGGAAGUGGUUAUAAACUGGAAUUUUCAGGGAAUUUGAAUGAUGAGUCACACUUCCAGUCUGGUAGGUUUUCAAUCACUGAUAACCUUAUUUGGAGACGUGGCCAUUUUAUUUAGCAUUUUAGCUGGAAGAGAACUCAAAGGACAGAGUAACCAAGCAAGUGGUGAGGGAGAUUUGUUUCCCCCUGAUUGGGCAUACAUAAUUUCAGUCCCCCUGGAAGAUGAUAGAAGCUGAAAGAAAUUCUGGAAGUAUCAGAUAUGAGAGUUGCUCUGAUUCCCAGGAAACAUGGGCUGGGAGGCUGGAUCUCAGGCACUGAGAGAUUGGGUCUUGGGAUUAAGCCCCACGUCCAUGUCGUCCAUGCCGGGCUCUGCACUCAGUAGGGAGUCUGCUUCAGGAUUCUCUCUCUGCCUUUGCCCCAUGGGCUUGGCUGCUCACCUGACUCAGGUGGAAUCCCUCUGAGAGCAUGCAGUCCUCAGGUUCUGCGUCCCGGGUUCGAAUCUCCGGCAUGCUCUGCUCCCAGAUGUUUAACCCAAGUACCUCUGUUCAUCUGUGUCCCAAGAGGUGGUGUCAGAGCUGGAUUGAGUUGUAGGACGCCCAGCGGGGAUCUCAGAGAACUGGAGAAUUGCUUGGUGAGGAAAACCCACACACCUGGUUUCAGAAGUGCUGCAGGCAGCUGCAGGAGUGGUUCUGACUGCCCGGAAUGACAGAAUACGGUGGAGGUAACAUUAUGUGACGUCCAAGGCAAGAUCAUACAAGUACCAGGGACUUCUAUUGGGCUCUCCUGGGACGCCAGCCCAAGCCAGCCUGUGCAGAGCGACCGGAUGAAGAGACCAUGUGUAGGAGUUCUGGCUGAUGGCCAUUCUCAGCUGUUAGACCUUAUGUGAGCGAGGAAGCCUCCAGAUGAUUCCAGCCCUGGCUGCCAAGUCCCCCAGCCUUCCAGUCUUCCUGGCUGAGAAGCCAAGGCUACUUGCCUCUCUUUGCCUUGUCUGCGUUCCUAGCCCCCCAGAACUCAGGAAAAUCUAUCUAUCUAUCUAUCUAUCUGGGUAGGCUCCAUGCCCAAUGUGGGGCUUGAACUCACGACCUUGAAACUGAGAGUCUCAAGCUCUACGAACGGAGCCAGCCAGGCGCCCCAAGAGGAAAAUCUUGGUAGUGGAGCCUAGUGAGCUGGAGGUGGAGGAGGGGCCUCCCUGAAGGAACAAUGGUCCCAAGCACCCAGGUCACAUUCACAAGGACUGGGGAUGAGGACUUCAGCGUCUUUGGGGGACCCAACUCAACCCAUAACAGGCGGCAAGUCUACACAAGUGUAUUAGGCAAGUUCUGUGUAAAAGGCACCGUACCAGCUGCCGAAGGGAUGCAGCUGCUGCGUUCAAGGAGCUGACCCCAGCCUCCGAGUUCCCAGAAUUGGAAGUCAUGAAACACAUAUCAAAAGGAUACUUCAAAUCCUUCUACAAUGGAAAAUUAGACCCACUCAAAAGCACAUCAUCAUGAGUUUUCAGGAUACUAAAGAUAAAGAGAAGACCCUAAAAGCUUCCAAAAAGGAAAAAAUAAAACACAUUUAAUAGGAUGGACCAUGGAUCAGAAUGGCCUCAGACUUCUCAUCACUAACUACUAGAUGGUAGCAGUGCCUUCAACACCCCGAGGGAAAGCAAUUCCCAAGCAACAGUUAUAUACCCAGCUAAGCCACUAAGCAUUAGGGCAAAAGAGACAUGUUUAGCUACGUAAGCUCUUGAGUGUUCAUCUCUCAAGCAUUCUUUCUCAGGAAGCUGCUGGAGGAUAUACUUACUCAAAAUGGGAGAACAAAGCAAGAAAUGAGAAGAAAGGGGAUCCAGAAAAUGGGCCGUCACCCCAGAGAGAGGUGGAGGGCAUCUCCAGGAUGGCCCUCUGCGUCCGCAGCUUUCAGCCCCUUUACAUGGGAGCAGCCCGGAAGGCCAGAAGGAAAAGUUCUGCAGAUGCCCAAAUUAAUAGAAUACCUAACGUAUUUGAAUCUACACAACUUGUAAACUGGGAAGAUUUAAUAAUAAAAUAGUAACAAAUAUAUAGAGAACUAAGCAAAAGAAAAUGCAAAACAAUCAUAAAAUCCAGACUAAACAAAAAGUUACAGCAGGAGGAAAAAAUAAUCAUGGCUCAUCUGUGAAUAGUAGUUAACCAAUCUCAGAAAUUUGAAAACCAAACUCAGAAAAUUGAUCCAACCCCAAAUAAGCUACAGCUGGGAGAGGUGGCGGCACAAAGUGUAAGGCGUGAAGCGAGAAGGAGACCGGAAGUGCAGGGGUGAAAGGUGAAGGAGACCGAAAGUAUAUAGGGGUGAAGGGUGAGGGGGGCUGAAGGAGACGGAAGUGUGGGAGUGUGAGGUGAAAAGUGAAGGAAAGCCAAAUUGUCCUCAUCUGACGUCAGUUGAAAACACCUCAAGUGGAAAAGCUGAAACUAUAAGACUGUUCUUUAGCGAUGAGGGUAAGUAGGAAAAGAAUGGGCUAAAAGUUGAGGGCGCCCACUGUGGAGAACAGGACGUGGGGGGUGGGACGUGCUCUCCUAUGUGCCUUUAAACUGCGACACUGGCAAAAUUACAGAAAGUGAGUCCCUGACGAGCUGACUGGAUGUGCCGCGUGCGGGGCCGGACCUCCUCGCCUCCCCGAGAAGGCCCCCUAGCCAGCGUGGAGCACGGAACCCGGUCAUCCACACCCCACGACUGCUGGCGCCACGAGGCUCUGUCGGGGAGGGCGGCCUGAGGGGCAGAGGUGGGCCCCGGGAGGGCAAGGUUGGGCUGGGGUGCCGAAGGAUCUUCCGGGGGGUCAGGGCAGCAGCAGGUGGGCCCGAGCGUUCGGUGUCGUGGGGUCCGGCUCGGGUUCAGAGAGCCGGGUUUGUCUGGCGGGCGCGACGGGGCCCUGGGAGCCUCCGAGGCUGUCGGUCCCGCGACGGCCGCCAGGUGGCGCCAGAGCCCGCGCCAGCUCGCAGCCUCCUCGCCGCGGGCCCGCGGACGCCCACGUCGAACCGCGCGGGAGGCCCGGGUCUCCAGGUGUGCGUCUCCGGCCCCCGCCUCGGCCACUCCAGGGGAAAUUUUCUUUCAAAGGCAAAUUUCAAAUACAAAAGCAGGCCGAACAGUAUUGCGAAAAGCUAAUUCCGUUUCCCCUACCCCUCCACCCUGUUUGUUUCUGAAAGCAAAUCUCAGCCCUUCAUUUCAUCUGUCAAUGUCUCAGUUGGUAACUCCAUAAAAUAGGACUCAAAGCAAAUCAUAGUCGCAGUGCCAUUACCACAAACGUUGAAUAGAUGGAAGUCUUGGAUCAGGAAUGGGAAGGGGGCAGGAAUCUUCAGGCUCAGGUAGAGACCCAGGAAUUCCAGAUGUGGCCCCGGAUGGUUUCUUUGGGGGAGAGGAAGCCCCCCUCCCCAGUGCCCACAGUGGGCUCCUGCAGAGCUGGGUGGGAUGGACAGUGUGAGGGGCCGGCUGGGGAGCCCUGGUCCUCCUCGUACCUUCCCACCCAGCGUCCACUCUCUUCUGCCUCCAGACACUUUCAGUUCAGCUGGACAGUGAGGGGAACGGAUGGAAAACUAGUCCCUUCCGGGCUGUUCUGUCUUGUCCCAUGAGUCCAGUGCUAUUCUUAAAGGUUAAAUCCUGGGCGAGCUUUUCUACUCAGCUGGUCCAGUGUGGCUGAAGAACUGACCAGCCCUCUCUCCUACCGCCCCGUCCUCCAUUCCCUCCAGUGGCUGACCCUCCCCUGGACUGACUGAAGCCCAGGACCCCUCCCACUCUGCUCCUUCCUUGUGUCCUUUUACAUCUCCCCAUUUUAUGGCCAGUCUCUCCGGGGAAACAGGCGGGGUGAUAAUAAGCACACAGAGGCAUUGUCCAGCAUUGUAUUUGUCCCUGAUCUCCACCAGAACACUGCAUGGAGCUCUAAGGCACGGCCGGGGGUCACAGACCCAGGUCGAUGCCUAGCUUUGCCCGACAAGGUGGCUGACCUUGAGCAGGCUACUUCACCUUUCCUGGGUGCAGGGCAGAGACCAUGGCACCAAGAGUAGCUCUGAAGCUUCAAGGGACAAUCCUAAAUGCUGAACGCAAUGCCUGGCCUCUCCCAGAUCCCCUUUUCAGACCGGCCACUCACUCAUCCCUCCGCACAAAUGUGUGGUGACCACCUACUGUGUGUCAGGUGCUGGGGAUGAUGCAGCGAGCAAAACCGAGCUGAUGGCCACUCUCGCCCAGUGGGGUUUGAGAACAUGCGCUCCAGCAAGGGCCGUGUGAGUCAUGAGCGGGCGGAGCAGGAUGUUCGGGCCUUCAGGAGGAGCAGAGCUUUCCCAGUUUCUAUAUAGGGACCACCAUUGGACUGGCGUGUUCCAUCCUCAGCUCUGGUCAACAACCGGUCACAUGAGUCGAGGGAUGCUGAGAGAGUUUCACUGCCAUAAGGCCUUUCCUCUCCUGGCCUGUCCCAGCCCAGGUCAGUAAUCCUGCUGAGAGCCCAGGGCACCUGGGGGACAGUCUGCAGAGGAAUGGAGGCCAUUAUCUCAUUCAUUCACUUAUUCCUUCACAACACACUUGUGUAUCGUUAUGGAUCAGGAGUGCCGGGGUCAGGAAACAUCCUGACUGACCCAAGGGUGCAGGUGUGGGGAAACCACAGUGAAGUUUUGGGAGAGAGGAGCAUGAGGACGCUGAGGACCCUGUCUCAACCUUCUCUUUUAUCCCCAAAACCAGAACCAGAAAGGGAGAGCAGUGUAGGAUCAAGCACUGAAUUAGUGAAUCUAUCGUUGAUCAUCAACUGCUGUUAGUAUCAGCAAAAGAGAUAACCGGACAGUGUGUGGCUCCUGAUGGAAGAACACAGCACUGCCCCACUGUGGUGCGACCAGCACCUUACAGGGAGACACCGUACAAGGCAAAUGCCUCUGUUCCUACACACACACACACAGUCAAGAACCUAUGGGGUAGAAAAGACUUAACGGACAUAGCAAGCAAUUUCAACACGUGAACCUUAUUUGAAUCCUGAUUCAAACAAGCAAGGUAUUUUUAAAUGACAUUUGUAAGGCAAUUAGAUAUUUAAACACUGGGUAUUUGAUAAAAUUAAGAAAGUAGUGUUACUUUUUUAAAGAAGACUAUUUAUUUGACAGAGAGAGAGAGACAGCAAGAGAGGGAACACAAGCAGAGGGAA